UGGAAAUUGUUUGAUGCUGAAUGUCAAUGGAAAAUAUGAUUUGAUAUGCAAGAAGAGAAAUAAACACAAGAUGCAUAAAACAAUUAAAUCCACGACUAAAGAUGUAUAAAGCUGCACGUCUGCAGGUCAUUCUUUCAUUAAUAACCAGCUCCUACAUGUGGCUCCCUGUGCAGUUUGAUGAUGUUAUGUCGUACCUGCUGUCUCAGGUGUCGGACCAGCUGGUGGAGAUAAACGGAGACAGUACAUCAGGGAUGACUCACAGUCAGGCUGUGGAGCAGAUCAGGAGAGGAGGACAUCGAAUCCACCUCGUCCUCAAGAAAGGAAACGGAUACGUGCCCGACUACGGCCCUGAGGAAGGAGCCCUCUCCCCCUCCUCCUCUUCACACACAGAGGAGCAAGAUGUGAAAACAGUAACCAUGACAACCGCCUCCCUCAGCCAGCAGAGGGGAGGAGGCGGUGGUACGGGAGGAGGAGAAGGAGGAGAGAGGAGGAGGACAAGGAGAGAGGGAGAAACCAAACGAAGAACAGGAGGAAGAGGAGGGUUAGGGCCUCCUGAUCUGGACCUAGACGUAGUGGAGGAGGAGGCACGGGAGGAGGAGGAGGAGGAGGAGAGAAGGAAAAGAAGCCAGACUGUCAGGCCAAAGGAGAAGCGGGACAACCAGAGGGAGCAGGGGAGGAGGAGCAGGAGUUUACCCAGGAUCAGUGCUCGAUCUUGGGAUAUGUUGCUGCCGCAGGAGGAGGUGGAGGUGGAGGAAUCUGGAGGAAUGAAGGAGAGAAGGAGGAGCGAGACUAAGAGCAGGAGGAGAGCGACAAACGAGGAGGAGAGGAGGGUGGAGAGAGACGACAGGACCACCCGCCACGCAAAGCCUUCUGGGAGCUCAGGUGCGCCGUUCUCCUUCCUUAUGCCGAUUGACGACGACGACGAUGACGACGACGACGAGCGUCAGCGUCUGUCCGACAGCGAAUCAACAACCAGCAUCGCAACAGCGGAGUGGAGGGAGGAGGAUUCUGAUUGGAGGAGAGCCGAGGGGAAGGCCCCGGGCCCCUGGCUGAAGCCGAGCCCGAAGAGAUUGACGAAGGUUCUGAUUGGCAGUCGGCUCGGUGGGCGGGAACUAUUGGGCGGGCUCUCUCUCUGAUUGGCUCACAGCGAGGACGUUUUUUUAUUCGCUGAUUUUCUUCUCUCUUUUUUUUGGCUACUUAUAAGGGCUUUCUUGAUUGGCCUACUGAGAGGAGACCCGCCUCUUCCUGCUUCUUAUUGGAUGACAAGAAGUUUCUGAUUGGAAGAUAAUAAGCAAGCUGUCAAGGACUUGUAUUUGAUUGGCUGGUGGGCGGGUUUUGAGGCCUCCUGAUUGGCCACUGACAUAACAGCUGCACACACGGCUGCCAAAUUCACCAACAAUGUUAUUUUUCAUUUUACCCAUCAUCCCUCAGUGCAUCCUGAGACCUGUAUCACGAAGCCGUUAUUAUUAGUGCGUUAUCCGGCUCUCGACGCUGGUGCACUUUUAAAUCACCAUGGUAACGGGGGUAAAUCACCACGGUAACGGUGGUAAAUCACCAUGGUAACAGUGGUAAAUCACCAUGGUAACAGUUAACCUCAGAGAAUUAGAUAGAAAACCUGUCAACAGCACGACAAUUAACCAAUCAGGAAAAUAUAUUUUUAAUCAAUUUAUAAUAAAAGUGACAAAUAAUAAGCAGCAGCAGAGAUUUCUAUGGGUCAGUAGAAUCUGAUUAUCGUGUCUGAAACGCGGCCCAAGAUGCCACGAGGUGGCUCGGUUCUUUGGGUGAACAGUUGAAAAUAUAAAGAAACAAGAUAUCUACAACAUUUUCAGUCUAAAAGAGACUUUCUUGCACGUUUGCCCAUCGGUUAUGGAAGAAGUUUCAUAUUCAUGUUGUCUGCAGUGAACUAGCGAAGGUAAACUUUUGCGGGGAUUUAGCAAAUGUUCCACCAAAACAAGAUCCCUCCCGAUAUUAGUUUUGAAAGGGCACCAUCGCUGCUUCCUUGGCUGCCCAAGACGAUUGCGAUUGGUUUAAAGAAAAGUAAACAACACUUCCAUUUUCACCUUCGUACAGAUUUAUGAUAGUUCAGCCAGACCUUUGUGUGCGUCACCAAAUGCUCUGCAGGUAGAACCAGACCGUCGCUCUGAACAUCUUCACUGUCAGGCUGCAGGGUUAAUGUUGAUCCACUGUAACUAUGAAUCAUGUGGAAAAGUGUGUAACCAGCUUCACGACACCAGCGAUCAGGAUCCCUGAUGUUGGGUUCCAGAGUGAGAUGAAGUUCUUGUGAUACAGGCCCCGCUCUUCACCUCCAUCAUCCUCCUCAUCAUCAUCCUCCUCCUCCUCAUCAUCCUCCUCUUCCUAACUUUAAACUCGUAUGCAAACAACAUGAGAACCUUUACUGAAGGCGCUGUUCUGUGAUUCUGUGUAAUCUGAGCAUGUGAAUAUCACUGGAAUGAUUUUUUAUUUUUAUAAGCUGAACAUGUAAAAGGCUCAAUGACAUCAUUAGUAUUAAUAUUAUUAUUAUUAGAUAUUAAAUAGAUCAGAGAUGAUCUGGUUUGCCUGCUUGCUUGUAAAAAAAAGAAGAAAAAAAAAACAUUGCCCUGAUGAUGUAACAGAGCCAUAACACACACACGCACACACACACACACACACACACACACACACACACACACAGUUCAGGUCCAGCUGUGGUCCUGUUGGCUGUCAAUUACCAUAACAUCGCCACGGCAACUUGGCCGACAAAGAUGACCCGUUUCUAUAGCAACAGCCACGGUGGAUCAGGACGCUACGACCUGCAGCUCUGGAUCAAAACAAAGUGCCUCAUUUAUUUCAGCCUUCGUCCUGCAGACUGACAGCGAGGCUGCAGGCAGCAGACACCGCCGCCACUUCCUGUUCACAUCCCGCCAUGUCCUGUCUCGUGUCAUCAAACAACGCCAAGACCGGUCACACACCACCGUGCCCCCCCCCCCCCCCAUAGUCUAUGAAAUGAAAGAACAGCCUAAACCGAUUCGUCACUUUAUGCUAAAAAUGUCAGAGAAUUGUGUAAAAUGGGCGUUUAAAUGAUCCAACAGUCAAAAAUCCAAAGAAAGUCAAUUUACGAUCAAAUAUUACACAGAAAAUCAAUAAUUGAUUAAUCUGCCGAUAUUUUUCAAUUAAAUGGAUGAUAGUUUAGUCUAUGAAACGUAAACAAAAUGUAAAGAAUUAGCAUCACAACUUCCAGAGCCAAACGUGACGUCUUUAAAUGUCUCUUUGCUCGACUGAAAGUACCAAAUACUUAAAAACGUUUAGUUUACAAUAAUAUAUGACAAAGAAAAGCAGGAAACCUUCUCAUUUGAGAGGCUGGAAUCAGAGAAUAUUGGAAUUGUUUCACUAUUUCUGCUUGAAAAUGACAAUUAAUCGUUUUCAAAAUAGAAAUAAUAAAAUUAUUUGACUAAACCGAUUCUUCAUUUUACGGUAAUAAAGAGAUCUAACCAAAAUCUAAUUUAUGAUCAAAUAUGACAAAGAAAAGCAUCGAAUCACUGAACAAACUGGAGGCAGGAGAUCAAAUAAUCAAAAGAAUAAUGUUUUAAAGAUGUUUUACAGCAGAUUUAAAACCCGUCUGUUCUCAGCCAAAGAUUGUUUGUGUAGUAAGAAGCUCCACUCUGUACCACCACUGUACAAUCUCAGUGUUUUUGUAGUUUUAACAACUCCAACAGAGUGAGACCUCUUCUCUCAACAUAAUCUCCCUCAUUCAUAUCAGAUCAAUAUUCAGUCUUUGAAUCAAGUAGUUCAUCUGUAUGUCAGAUACACAUUUAAAUCAACAUUUAGGUCGAUAUAAGUAUCUUAUCGGACUCUGAAUCAGCUCAUAAUCCAUAUUAAAAUGACUCGGAUCAGGGCCACCGGGACAUUACUGUAGCUUUAAUGUCUUAGGAGACCAGAUUGUUUCAUUUAAUACACUAAAGCAAAAUGUAGCAUGUAAACUUGACUUAAAAAAAACACAUGAACAUUUCUGGUGAUUUGCCUUGUGAUGCCUCACACGCACACAAUCCCUUAUUCAUCCAUUAAAUCAUGUUUCUUUUACCCGUCUGUCUGUCUGCACACCCUCUGCAGUUACACUACAACUCCCACACACCCUUGCGCUGCCCUUUAGCCCCGCCCCCUCAGCCUGCUUUCUCUAAAAAGGGCAUUUUGGAUCUUUCUUCUUCUAUGCAUUUUCUUAAAAGACUGCCUGGACUCUAACGCUUCUAAUGAUCGAUGGGUCUGAAUAUUCAGGUUCUGGUCCAAAGACGACCAGGAAGGAUUCAAAAGUUCCAUCAUCAGAUCUGCUCUCAGGCAGCAGGAGGGACGUCACGGGGGGGGGGCGUGACACCGAACUGUGUUGGUUUAGUAAAAGUCCAGCAGUCGACUGUAAACACGCAGCUGACUGAAGCAGCUCGAUGGUCUGUCGGUAUAUAUAAAGUAUAUAUUUCUGUCUUUUCUUUAGCUGCAGUUUGACUUCAAAACUCUCUGAGCUGGACACCAGGGUAACUGUUAGCUGUUAGCUCGCUAACUAGCCAGCAGCCUCGUUUAAUCAACAAGAUAAAGAAUGCUAGGCCUGGGCGAUGAAACGAGAGCGGUGUGACAUUUCAUCAAUAGCAAAAAGAAAAUAGUUCCAUAGUUUCACUUGAAUGCUAAGCUAACCGCACAAGACUCUCUAAAAGAAAAGGUAUGAACUAUUCCUUUAACAUGCUAACGCUUAGUAUGCUAGCUGUGUUAGCUGUGAAUUCUUCUUGCCCAAAUUGAGACUUCCUGUCACAGUUAUUGACCUGAACUGAACUGACCUCAUUUUAAAAUUGAGCAGAUUGAGAAAAGAGAGGUAAUUAUCUCUCUAUACUAUCAUAUAGUUAAAUAAUAUAUAUAUAUAUAUAUAUAUAUAUAUAUAUAUAUAUAUAUAUAUAUAUAUAUAUAUAUAUAGAUUAUAUAUUAGAUUAUUAGAUUAUUAUUACUCAUGUGUUAAUGGUAAAGCAGGAUUUUACAUUUUAAACAAUGAAUUUAUGAUUAUUUUCAUUACGGAUUACUAUUGUGUAUUUUAUUUUGUAAAUAAUGAGAAAUGUCAUCACAAUUACCCAAAGUGACACAUUUACCAUGUUAAAUCCAAACUUCAACAAUAUUUCUAAUAAAUUAACAUUAUUAAAAAAGGAAAAUCAGCAAAACUUCAAAUUUGUGAAGCUGGAAUUAUGAAAUGUCUUUAACCAUCAAAAUAGUUGCUGAUUAUUUCUUAGAUACCGUAAGCUUUGAUUAAUCAACCACUAAUGUAAGCUCAAAUGUUAUAAACUGUUGGGUAGUUUAAUAUUUUACAAUGCUUUUAUAUAUUUGCAAAGUAACUAAAGCAGCUGUCAGAUAAAUGCAGUCGAAUGGAAUAAAAAGUACAAUAUUUCCCCCUCAGAUGUAGUGAAGUAGAAAGUUGCAGAAAAUAGAAAUACUCAAAGGACAGCACUUGAAUAAAUGUAUUUAGUAACAAAACAUAGACUUCCUCAGCAGAGCUAUUUAUUAAUAAUAACAAUAACAAUAAAUAAUGAUAAUAAUAUACAAUUAAUAAUUAUAAUAAAUAAGAAAACUGAACAAACAAGAAAUAAAUAAACAGCAGCUGCACAAAGUAAACAAGCCAGCGUGUUGCAACGUAACAGUGGCCUUCGUCACUACGCAACUCACAGCGUACAUACAUGUGCACGUGCGCUGCCGCGCUCACCUGUGUGUCCUCAGGUGCAGCUCGUCUUCAGUCUCUCAGUGUUUCAUCUGACAGGUUUUAAUCCCUCUGAGCUCAGGGGACCGCGCGAUCUUCACCUGUCUCCACGUACACUGUGUGGGUGUGUUUGUUUUGGUCCACUGAGCAUAUCCGCCGGGCGGUGCAUUAUUUAAAUUAAUCUGUGCAGUGGUGGAAGGCAAUGAAGUAACCAAUUUACAAAUUCAUCUAAACUACUUUACUAUUUCAUUUUUAUGUUACAUUUCAGAGGAAAAUAUAUAAUAUAUAUAUAUAUAUAUACAUU
rnacentral:lncRNA from 1 species